CAGUAGCCGCGGUAAUACGAGGGGGGCAAGCGUUGUUCGGAAUUAUUGGGCGUAAAGGGUGCGUAGGCGGUUUGGCAAGUUUGGUGUGAAAUCUUCGGGCUCAACUCGAAGUCUGCAUCGAAAACUGCCGGGCUUGAGUAUGGGAGAGGUGAGUGGAAUUUCCGGUGUAGCGGUGAAAUGCGUAGAUAUCGGAAGGAACACCUGUGGCGAAAGCGGCUCACUGGACCAUAACUGACGCUGAUGCACGAAAGCUAGGGGAGCAAACAGGAUUAGAGACCCCAGUAGUCCCUGUCUCUUAUAC
rnacentral:rRNA from 1 species